UCCGGUUUGUCACCGGCAGUCCCAUUAGAGUGCCCAACUAAAUGUAGCAACUAAUGGUAAGGGUUGCGCUCGUUGCGGGACUUAACCCAACACCUCACGGCACGAGCUGACGACAGCCAUGCAGCACCUCUACCGGUGUCUCUUGCGAGAAGGCGAUGUUUCUACCGCUGGUCACCGGCGGUUCAAGCCCAGGUAAGGUUCUUCGCGUUGCGUCGAAUUGAACCACAUGUUCCACCGCUUGUGCGGGCCCCCGUCAAUUCCUUUGAGUUUCAAUCUUGCGACCGUACUCCCCAGGUGCAGGACUUAACGCGUUAGCUCCGGGACGCUCCACGAACGUGAAGCACCCCAAGUCCUCAUCGUUUACGGCAUGGACUAC
rnacentral:misc_RNA from 1 species